rnacentral:tRNA from 1 species
AGGGGUGUUGGUUAAUGGCAAACCACUCGCCUCCAGAGCGAAGACUGAGGGUUCGACUCCCUCCACCCCUG